rnacentral:rRNA from 1 species
GUCCAGACUCCUACGGGAGGCAGCAGUGGGGGAUAUUGCACAACGGGGGGAACCCUGAUGCAGCGACGCCGCGUGGGUGAAGAAGCGCCUCGGCGCGUAAAGCCCUGUCAGCAGGGAAGAAAAUGACGGUACCUGAAGAAGAAGCCCCGGCUAACUACGUGCCAGCAGCCGCGGUAAUACGUAGGGGGCAAGCGUUAUCCGGAUUUACUGGGUGUAAAGGGGGCGCAGACGGCGAUGCAAGCCAGGAGUGAAAGCCCGGGGCCCAACCCCGGGACUGCUCUUGGAACUGCGUGGCUGGAGUGCAGGAGGGGCAGGCGGAAUUCCUGGUGUAGCGGUGAAAUGCGUAGAUAUCAGGAGGAACACCGGUGGCGAAGGCGGCCUGCUGGACUGCAACUGACGUUGAGGCCCGAAAGCGUGGGGAGCAAACAGGAUUAGAUACCCCUGUA